GUGUGUGUGUGUGUGUGUGUGUGUGUGUGUGUGUGUGUGUGUGUGUGUGUGUGUGUGUGUGUGUGUGUGUGUGUGUGUGUGUGUGUGUGUGUGUGUGUGUGUGUGUGUGUGUGUGUGUGUGUUUAUGAGUGUGUGUGUGUGUGUGUGUGUGUGUGUGUGUGUGUGUGUGUGUGUUUAUGAGUGUGUGUGUGUGUUUGCCUGCCUGUGUGUGGGUGUGAGUAGGAAGCAGAAGGACAGAAGGGACCGUUCACUGUGGUCUACAAAUUUGAUUCUAUAAAGAGGAAAGAAGUCUUUCAUAUUAUUUUGGGUUGUUCAGCCAGCUUUAAGAUGACCUGGAACCCCAGCCUUGUUUUCAGAACAGGUUAGGGUUCGAGGCACUUCAGGGUAAUGGUGACUGGAGAGUUACGUACUCAUCUAGUAAUGUCUGCGCUUUAAGGGGAGCAAUGGUUUACCUCCGCAGUUAUGUACAGCACCAGCCUACCACAGAUAAUACACUGUGGUUUACGAAAUUAUCCAACAAGCAGCUAGUUGAUCUAGAACACAAUGCAGACUAUACAGGUCGUGUUGAGUCCAGCUGUAGAGAGGACAGAUGUACCCGGUCCAGAUGUCAUGGAACAUGUACCCUGAGAAUCAAAGAUCUGAGACAGAGUGACUCUGCUGUCUACAAGGUUAGGUUCACAACAAACCAACCAGGUGGGGAAUAUACUGGUGACCCUGGAGUGACGUUAUCUGUAACAGACCUCCAGGUGAAGGUGUCCUUUCCUUACCCAACUGAUCCUACCAGGGCAGAGCAGUAUGUGUGAUCUAGCUAGUGACACUCCCUACAUCUGGUUCAGAAAUGGACAUAAUGUAGGACAGGGAAUGAAAUACAGGGUCUACAUUCAGUCUGGAGACUGCUUCUCAUGUGCCGUUGAAGGAUCCGAUCUCCGAUCUCCUUCAGUGUACGCUCCGAAGACCCCCUCAUUGACUGCGAGUCCCUCUGCUGAAAUAGGGGAGGGCAGUUCAGUGACUAUGAACUGCAGCCGUGAUGCAAACCCUGCAGCUAACUACACCUGGUUCAAGAACAACCAACCUCUGCUCUGGGAAACAAAUCAACCUCAUACCUUCCCCUCGGUCCGCCCUGAAGACAGAGGAACAUACCUCUGUCACGCAGAGAACCAAUAUGGACAUAUGAGCUCUCAUUCGCUAUUCUUUGAUGUCCAGUAUGCUCCAAAGACCCCCUCAGUGACCCGGUUUCCAACUGGUGAAAUGGAGGUUGGCAGAUCAGUGACACUAAGCUGCAGCAGUGAUGCCAACCCAGCAGCUAACUAUACCUGGUUCAAGGAACAUCAAGACUCAGUGAAGGAAUUAGGACAGAACUACACCAUCAUUAAUAUCACAUCUGAGCUUGGAGGAAACUAUUACUGCCAAGCUCAUAAUGCAAUUGGACAUCAUAAUUCCACUUUUUUGCUCAUUAAAGGUAAUGAUUUAUUUAAGGCACACACAGCUUCCAUACCGUCAAAAGAAUAUAGUUAAACAUUGUGCUACUUAUACUGCAGUGUGUUAUUAGUGUUUGAAAUAAUUCUCAUAUGUUCUUGUGAUAUCCGUAUUAUCAGAGACAACAAUUGUAGCUGUAACAACGAUUGGUGUCUUACUGGCCACCCUACUCCUCCUCGUCUUCUGGAUGAGGUGAAAUAUUUAAAUUCCCCUAUUGCCUCUUCAUCUCUGUUCUCUUCUCCAGAAGAAAGAGGGCCUCCAGAAAAUCAUGUAGACAGGGAGAAAGGCCAUAUACCGUUGAGGAGCCACUUCCUGGUCCCGUGUAUGAAAACCUCUCAGAUUUGAACAAUCGAAUGGUUCCUGCAGCACAGAGAGAACCAAUAGAAGUGCAGGAUGACCUUCACUAUGCGAUCAUCCACCACUCUGUCUCAGAGAACCAGGAAGUGCCUCGCUGUUGGGUUGGCUCUCGUCCCCAAUCAGACCAGACAGAUGCAGUCUUUUACUCUGAGGUCAAAAAUUAAACGACCCAACGCUGUCCGUGGAGUGUGACCAGACAGAGGCAGCACAAACCUCAGGGUUGUACAGCACCUUCAAAAAGCACCCCAGAGAUUGAACCAGUUGUGGCAGAAAGAUUUAAAUUGUGGGACUAGAUAGUUUAACAGGACAAUACGCUGGCUGAAUAUCCUAUUGGACUUUAUUACCUGGACUGAAUUGAGAUUU